rnacentral:ncRNA from 1 species
CCGCACGCGUCGGGAGAGCGCGUGGCCGCUGUGUUGUCAGCGUCGCCGCGCCGCCGAAGGGGCACACCCGCAAACUCUCAGGCAAAAGGACCGGCCGCGUCGAG